rnacentral:tRNA from 1 species
GGUAUCGUGGCCGAGCGGUCUAAGGCGCUGGUUUUAGGCACCAGUCAUUUCGAUGGGCGUGGGAUCGAAUCCCACCGCUGCCA